UACGUAGGGUGCAAGCGUUGUCCGGAAUUAUUGGGCGUAAAGAGCUCGUAGGCGGUUUGUUGCGUCGGCUGUGAAAUCCCCGAGGCUCAACCUCGGGUCUGCAGUCGAUACGAGCAAACUAGAGUGUUGCAGGGGAGACUGGAAUUCCUGGUGUAGCGGUGAAAUGCGCAGAUAUCAGGAGGAACACCGGUGGCGAAGGCGGGUCUCUGGGCAACAACAUGACGCUGAGGAGCGAAAGCGUGGGGAGCGAACAGG
rnacentral:rRNA from 1 species